rnacentral:lncRNA from 10 species
CGUAAAGUUUCAUACGUGGAAGAGAGAAGGAUGUUCCACUGGAAAAGCAGAAUUGCAGCUGAGCUGUCCUGAAAUGCCCAGCACUCUGUGGAGACGCGGAGGAGGUUUCCUGGGACAAAGUGCUGAACCAGAUGGUGAAGCCAAGGCCUGAAGACCUUUCCUGCAAGGUCGCAGAGGAAGAGGCAGAAGAAGGACCAGAACCCAGCUCCCCUGACUCCCUAUCCAGUGCUCUUCUCAUAGAUUACAUUGCUUCAGCAUCCACCUGGCUAUUGCUCCAUCCAGGGGUUACAGGAGUCACUGACUGUUUUGGUUGCUUCUUGGUUGGAGGAUGUUGUGCCUCACCGAUGAGAGCCGGAAGCAAAGGUACCAGUUCUUAGAGGAAGCAUAGGAAUGUGUCCCUUCCUGCUCGGGUCUCUCAACUGAACUCAACCCUUCCUUGAUUGAUUGACAAGCAUGUUAUCUCUCAUAAUCCCUGCCCGGUAAGGGCUGAUGUCCCCAUUUUACAGAUGAGGAUAUUGGAGCUCAGAGAAGUGAAAUGAUUGCUGAAGGUCACACAGCCUGGCUUCAAGCCUCUCGGGCUCCAAAAGGCAUCUUCUGUUCUCUCCGUCAGGAAGCCUCUUUUGGAUGAUUAACUGAGAUUAAAA